rnacentral:rRNA from 1 species
UACAGAGGGUGCUAGCGUUGUUCGGAAUCAUUGGGCGUAAAGGGCGUGUAGGCGGUUUGUUAAGUCAUGUGUGAAAGCCCCCGGCUCAACUGGGGAGGGUCAUUCGAUACUGAUCGACUCGAAGGCAGGAGAGGGUAGUGGAAUUCCCGGUGUAGUGGUGAAAUGCGUAGAUAUCGGGAGGAACACCAGUGGCGAAGGCGGCUUCCUGGCCUGUUCUUGACGCUGAGGCGCGAAAGCUAGGGUAGCAAACGGG